rnacentral:tRNA from 1 species
CGAGGUGUAGCUCAGUUGGUAGAGUGCUUGCUUUGGGAGCAAGACGUCGCACGUUCGAGUCGUGUCACCUCGACCA